rnacentral:rRNA from 1 species
AGGGCACCACCAGGAGUGGGGCCUGCGGCUUAAUUUGACUCAACACGGGAAAACUCACCCGGCCCGGACACUGGAAGGAUUGACAGAUUGAGAGCUCUUUCUUGAUUCAGUGGGUGGUGGUGCAUGGCCGUUCUUAGUUGGUGGAGUGAUUUGUCUGGUUAAUUCCGAUAACGAACGAGACUCUAGCCUAUUAAAUAGAUCGUUGGCUUACAAACGCCGGCGAGACUUCUUAGAGGGACAGGCGGCGAUUCAGCCGCACGAAACAGAGCAAUAACAGGUCUGUGAUGCCCUUAGAUGUCCGGGGCCGCACGCGCGCUACACUGAAGUGAUCAGCGUGCAUUUUGAAACCUACUCUGUCAAGAGUGGGGAACCCAAUGAACCUUCUUCGUGAUCGGGAUAGGGGAUUGUAAUUAUUCCCCUUGAACGAGGAAUUCCCAGUAAGCGCGAAUCAUAAGUUUGCGCUGAUUACGUCCCUGCCCUUUGUACACACCGCCCGUCGCUACUACCGAUUGAAUGUUU